rnacentral:rRNA from 1 species
AUUGAACGCUGGCGGCAGGCCUAACACAUGCAAGUCGAGCGGAUGAAGGGAGCUUGCUCCUGGAUUCAGCGGCGGACGGGUGAGUAAUGCCUAGGAAUCUGCCUGGUAGUGGGGGAUAACGUCCGGAAACGGGCGCUAAUACCGCAUACGUCCUGAGGGAGAAAGUGGGGGAUCUUCGGACCUCACGCUAUCAGAUGAGCCUAGGUCGGAUUAGCUAGUUGGUGGGGUAAAGGCCUACCAAGGCGACGAUCCGUAACUGGUCUGAGAGGAUGAUCAGUCACACUGGAACUGAGACACGGUCCAGACUCCUACGGGAGGCAGCAGUGGGGAAUAUUGGACAAUGGGCGAAAGCCUGAUCCAACCAUGCCGCGUGUGUGAAGAAGGUCUUCGGAUUGUAAAGCACUUUAAGUUGGGAGGAAGGGCAGUAAGUUAAUACCCUGCUGUUUUGACGUUACCAACAGAAUAAGCACCGGCUAACUUCGUG